rnacentral:rRNA from 1 species
CAUGCAAGUCGAGCGGUCAAAAUGAGGGGGCUUGCCCCUGAAAGACGAGCGGCGGACGGGUGAGUAAUGCGCGGGAACGCGCCCUUUGGAGGGGGACAACCUUGGGAAACCAGGGCUAAUACCGCAUAACCUCCACGGAGCAAAGCGGGGGAUUUCUUCGGAAACCUCGCGCCAAAGGAGCGGCCCGCGUCCGAUUAGUUUGACGGCGGGGUAACAGCCCACCGUGACUACCAUCGGUAGCUGGUCUGAGAGGAUGAUCAGCCACACCGGGACUGAGACACGGCCCGGACUCCUACGGGAGGCAGCAGUGGGGAAUAUUGGACAAUGGGGGCAACCCUGAUCCAGCGAUGCCGCGUGUGUGAAGAAGGCCUUCGGGUUGUAAAGCACUUUCGCAGGGGAAGAAACGGUGCGCUCUAACAUAGCGCGCAACUGACGGUACCCUGAAAAGAAGCGCCGGCUGAUUCCGUGCCAGCAGCCGCGGUAAUACGGAAGGCGCAAGCGUUAAUCGGAAUGACUGGGCGUAAAGCGUGCGCAGGCGGCCGCGCAAGUCGGAUGUGAAAGCCCCGGGCUCAACCCGGGAAUGGCGUUCGAAACUGCGCG